AAUCAUCAAAACCUUUUCCUCUUUGAUCCCAAAUUUAUUUGGGUUGGGAAAAGGAUUUUGGACUUGGAGGUUCCAUGCUCGCCUUCUUUUGAAAGCGAGCUCCUCUCAAAUGAAUCAGUGGGGUCCGCUUUGCCGAUCCUUGACGUGAUAAGAUGCUUCUACGUUUUGGGUUUGGCACCGUCCCUUGGACGCCUGCUCCUAACCGUCCCCAUGGACAACGAUGGUGCUCCGGUCGACCGCCGUCUACGUUGGCGGGGGAAGGCUGGACCCACGAAAAGAAAA
rnacentral:misc_RNA from 1 species